GCCGAUGUGGCGGAAUAGGCAGACGCGCUGCGUUCAGGACGCAGUGGGCAUUGGCUCGUGGGGGUUCAAGUCCCUCCAUCGGCA
rnacentral:tRNA from 1 species